AAGUCGUAACAAGGUUUCCGUAGGUGAACCUGCGGAAGGAUCAUUAAUGAGUUGUGAUGGGGUUUGAUGCUGGCAGCCAAUUUUUGGAUGCAUGUGCUUGCCCUAACAAUCAUCUUCCAAACACCUGUGCACAUUUUUGAGGGAGUUUCGAGUUUUAUUGCCGUUUUUGGUGAUUUUCUUGUAUUCCCUUGAAUUAUUAUACGCUGUUAACAAUGAUGAACGUGCUCUGUGCCGCAAGGCCAUUAAUAUAAUACAACUUUUAACGACGGAUCUCUUGGCUCUCGCAUCGAUGAAGAACGCAGCGAAAUGCGAUAAGUAAUGUGAAUUGCAGAAUUCAGUGAAUCAUCGAAUCUUUGAACGCACCUUGCGCUCCCUGGUAUUCCGGGGAGCACGCCUGUUCGAGUGUCGCGAAAUUUCUCAAGCUUGGAUGGCCUUUUUGUCUGUCCUUAGCCUUGGUUGUUGGGCUUUGCCGUGUCCUUUGUUGGGACGGCUGGCCUUAAAAGCAUUAGCUGAUCCUCGUGUGGCACUGGUUCUACUCAGCGUGAUAACAGUCUGAUCGCUGAGGACAUCUUUCGGGAUGGCCAGUUCUCAUUUGGGUUGCUUCCAAACUUGGUUUUGCAGAUUGUACAAUCUGUGUUCCACAUUUCAGCUUUGACCUCGAAUCAGGUGGGACUACCCGCUGAACUUAAGCAUAUCAAUAAGCGGAGGAAAAGAAACUAACAAGGAUUCCCCUAGUAACGGCGAGUGAAGCGGGAAGAGCUCAAAUUUAAAAUCUGGUAAUCUUUGGUUGCCCGAAUUGUAAUCUAGAGAA
rnacentral:misc_RNA from 1 species